AGUGAACGCUGGCGGUAGGCCUAACACAUGCAAGUCGAACGGCAGCACAGUAAGAGCUUGCUCUUACGGGUGGCGAGUGGCGGACGGGUGAGGAAUACAUCGGAAUCUACUUUUUCGUGGGGGAUAACGUAGGGAAACUUACGCUAAUACCGCAUACGACCUACGGGUGGAAGCAGGGGAUCUUCGGACCUUGCGCGAUUGAAUGAGCCGAUGUCGGAUUAGCUAGUUGGCGGGGUAAAGGCCCACCAAGGCGACGAUCCGUAGCUGGUCUGAGAGGAUGAUCAGCCACACUGGAACUGAGACACGGUCCAGACUCCGACGGGAGGCAGUGGGGAAUAUUGGACAAAGGGCGCAAGCCUGAUCCAGCCAUACCGCGUGGGUGAAGAAGGCCUUCGGGUUGUAAAGCCCUUUUGUUGGGAAAGAAAAGCAGCAGGUUAAUACCCCGCUGUUCUGACGGUACCCAAAGAAUAAGCACCGGCUAACUUCGUG
rnacentral:rRNA from 1 species